AAGACUUUAAGUUAAAAAAACUAAUGGCCUUCAAAGCUAUAAAUAAAAGGCGAUCUUUUAGGUCUUA
rnacentral:tRNA from 1 species